rnacentral:lncRNA from 1 species
CUGACAGGAGGAAGGGUGAGGACCUCAAAGCCAUUUAGAUGGAGGUCGAUGAGCUGAACUGAGCCACCCAGAGACUUCAGGCAGAAAUCACCAACCUCAGGAAACAGAUGGGACCCCAACUCAGCAGUGUGCUGCCCUGCAAGACACCAUCCUGGAGGCAGAGCAGAAGGGCAAGGUAGCCAUCGGAGAUGCCCAGGACAAGCUGGCUGAGGUGGAGGCUGGACCAGCUGCUCUGUGAGUACCAGGAGCUGAUGAGCAUCAAGGUGGCCCUGGAGGGCCAGGCGUGCAGGUGGGUGACCCAGAGGAGACAGGAUAGGCAAGGGUCCUCACUGCACUCCGUCGUGGCAGGCACUCUGUCAACCUUCCCAUCUGUAUGAUAGGCAAUUGAUUAACUCAUUCAUUCCUGAAAUGUGCCUCAGGCUUCGUUCAGCAGUGCUGUCCAGUCAGGGCCUUUGACCAG